ACCAUGGAAACACCUGAGACCCAAGUGAAGGUGGUAGCCUAAGUCCCCUCAAACCAGCCCUGCUCCCAAGUCUGGAUUUAUAGCUUGUCAUGGGAGCAGGGCGUCUGAACAGAGCUCACCAGCCAGAACAGAACUCAGGCCAGUGUUUAUCUCAGCAACAGGGCCCUGCCAGCUUCUCAGGAGUGGACUCACACCUGGUAAACCUGAGUAAGGACCCAUGGCUGGGCACCCACAGGCCCCACAGUUUGAUCUAAAGGAAAGAAAGCCCUUCCACGAGAUGAGUGCGGCACCCAAAUCCCAUCAGAGGAGUGUCUUUGUGAAGUGGACCAUUGGUCAACCCAGAAGUGCACAACUGGCCAAAGCAAGAGAAAAAGACACCAAGUGCUCAGUCACAGACAGGGUCUACCACACACUCUGCAGGGACCAUCACAGAGGAGCUAGCAGAAAGGCUGAAAGAGCCUGCUCAGGCAGGACCAGAGCACACAGUGUUGCCUGUUUAUGGCGGCACCGGCACCGGCACCGGCACCAGCACCAGCACCAGCUAGGGGUUGUCCAGGACAGGCUCAGGCCUGUCCUGCUUUGGUUUUGCCGACUCCAUUCUUGGGUCUGUAUUAAGUCAAUUCCCAAAAGAGGAACUCGGGAUCGUUUUGGGGACAUGGAGUAAGAUGUUCUGAGCCUGCUGGAAAGGCAGAAAGAGAAACAUGGGGAUUCUUUUAAAUAUAAUUGGGAAAUGUUUGA